ACUACAACCUCUGGAAAAAGAAGGGUAUAAUAUAUAUUUAUUCGCAGUUAUCUCUCGUAAAUUGGCAUUAGCCAAAACUCUUCGGAGACAUUUUGUAUCCCAUGAUGCACCGCUGCUACCUACUUCCAUGUUCAAAACAGUGGAGAGGAAACGGCCGUCAAUGAACACAGCGCCCCUACUGGUCGAAGGGCAAAACGACAUAUGUGAAAACUGCAGCACCUCCAACCAAAGCGAACCCAAGGGAAGAAGCCAAGGCAGCAGCUUGCAUGGCAGCAUCACCUCUGAAGAGGAGGGGGAGGGAAGACAGGAAUAGCAACUGCAACAAUACCAGCCAACCCACCCAGGAUGCCAGGCAUGCCGUACAGAUUGUGGACACCACAGGUAUCUUGGAUGCCCAGGUGGGAUGCCAGGAUGGGCUACAGAGGCAAGAAAAAAAGGCCUGUUGUUGCAAAGGAGUGUCUUUUUAAAGGGUGACAAAUUUUAUAUUACUUUCCUUUCCUUAGUUUCAACUCACACUUAGGUGCUUGAAGCCCUGGGAAGA